AGGUCCAUGUGUGUGUGUGUGUGUGUGUGUGAAUUGUUUUUUGUGUGGCCUUUUUGUGCGGUUUUGGUCAUUAGUUUUAGUGACGUGUUGUAUUAAAGGGUUCGAAGCUUCGCUCCACAGACACGCGCUGCGGAGACGGUGGUAGCUUGUGGACUUGCGGUGGUCACGCCAGUCUAUCAUAGCACAAAGUGAACGGGCGAGUCCAGUGUCUUGAAAACAGUUUUGGGUGUGUUCAGAUCCUGAAAGACAUCACCCUAUGAUAGAAGUUGCUGCAGGGCUACAAGGUCCAUUACAUCCCUGGCUGAGACUGCCAUGGUCUGCCUGUUAAACUGAAGGUACUCAGGUAGACAAAAAAAGAUUAUAGCAAAUCAGCUGUCAUCUUACAGUGAUUCUUUGGAGAUCAGGAAUAAUGUACAAGUCAGACAAGAGCAGAAGAGCCCCCCAUCUCUCCCUGUCUAGACCCUCGAGUGAAGCAGUAUGUCCUGAACCACCCAGCCACUUAGUAGACAGGUCACUGCACAGAACUGAGCCUAACACAAUGCCCUCAUUGCCAACCUGUGGAUUUGGCAGCCUUUCUGAAGGGAGGAUGACAAAGAGGACUGCAGGGAGACAGCAAGGACCACCAAGGGAAGACCAGAGCACCGUCUCAAACUGUAAGGAAGGCUGUUCCCCGGGGGACCCGUCUUGUGGGUUUUUCUGAGCCAGCUGGUGACACCCU